rnacentral:lncRNA from 1 species
CGGUGGAAUUUUGCACCAACAUGGCCCAUGAUGCCGACAUCGACCACAAACUUUAGGAGAUGAACCAACAAAUUGAGGCAUUAUGUCAUCAAGCCUUGGAUCGGAAUGAUGGGUUUGGUUUCCACACUGACCCACACUUCAGUUGCAGGAUUAUGUAGGAGCCACUAUCCAUCUACUUUAAAAUGCCAUAGUUAGAAGUCUACGAUGGGUCAAUUGACCCGA